rnacentral:rRNA from 1 species
AAAAAGGAAUUAGACAAAUAGGUUUUUCACCUGUUUAUUAAAAACAUGUCUUUUUGAUGAUAAUAAAAAGUCUGAUCUGCCCACUGAUUAGGAUUAAAUGGCUGCAGUAUUUUGACUGUACAAAGGUAGCAUAGUAAAUAGUUUUUUAAUUGAAAACUUGAAUGAAAGAUUUGAUGAAAAAAUAAUUGUCUCUUUAAUUAAAAAAAAAAUUUAUUUUUAAGUGAAAAAGCUUAAAUAAUUUUUAAAGACGAUAAGACCCUAUAGAGUUUAAUUUAUAUAGAGGUAUUUAAUGGUUUUAUAUAAAUUUAAUUGGGGAGAUUAAAAAAUUUUAUUAACUUUUUUUUAUUAAAAUUCAUUGGUAUAUGUUUAUUUAUUGAUCCAUAAAUUAUGAUUAAAAGAUUAAAUUACCUUAGGGAUAACAGCAUAAUUUUUUUUAAAGUUCUUAUUAAAAAAAAAGUUUGUGACCUCGAUGUUGGAUUAAAUUAUUUAUUUGGUGAAGAUUUUAAAUAAAUAAGUCUGUUCGACUUUUAAAAAUUUACAUGAUCUGAGUUUAAACCGGUGUAAGCCAGGUUGGUUUCUAUCUUAAAUAAGCUUUAAUAAAUUAGUACGAAAGGAAUA